ACUAUAUAACCCCUGCGUUAAAAAGAGAAUCGGCAGAGAAAUUAGAACAUACUUGGAAUUGAACGAUAAUGAAGCAAAAAUUGUGGGACACAGCUAAAUUGGUAGUCAAGUAAAUUAAGGUAAAUUUAUUGCAUUCAAAACAAGAGAAAUAAGAGACUUUACAAACAAGUGAGCUAGGCAUUUAUCUCAAAAAGUUGUAAAGAGAAGCAACAGAACCUAUGGAGAUAAGAAGGAAAUAAUAAAGAAUGGAAGGAACAAAUGAAAUAAAGAAGAAAAUGGUGUUAUAGAUUAACAAAACCAAAAGUUAUUGUUUUCAAUACUUUUCAAUACAGAUUACUGAGAUAGACAAACUUCUGGCAGAACGGGGCAAUUAAAACUAAAAAAAUUCUCUAAAGGGCCAACGGUAAAUAUUUUAGACUUUGCGAGUAUAAUUUCUGACAAUUAAUCAACUUUGCUAUAAUAAGAAAUCAGUCAUAGUCUAUACCUAAAGGAAUGGGCACGUCUGUGACCCAAUAUAAUUUUACUUACACUGAAAUUUGAAUUUUGUAUACUUUUCAGAUGCCACAAAAUAAUAUUCUGGGGUUUUUUCCAGCUAUUAAAAAAAGUAAUGUUCAUUCUUAGCUUGCUGCAGGCUGUGCAACCUCAAAAGGAUGCGGGUCGAGACCCAGCUGUGUGGUCAGUUCCUCAAGUAUGGGGCAGGAAGCUAGCACUCUUAUGGAAAAGGGCCCACGCCUGAGGAUUACUGGAACUUGACUCCAGUGGGUAAUCAUUUUCCCUGAUGGACUGGGAGCCCGCCCUCAGCCCUGAGCCCUGGCUGGCUGUGUAACCUUGAUCACUCAACAGGUUUCCAGGAAUUCAAAAGCCAUCACAGCUGCCCUCGCCCCUCUCAGCCAGACCCCACAACCAGUGGUCGCCAGGAGGGGCGCCAGAGAGCGCGCAUGCGCUCCACCCCGCCUCGCGGCCAAUCGGAUCGCAACGCCCUGGGCCGCGCCGACCUCGCGCCCGCACCUGGCAGCCAAUCACAGGUCGCAGCGGGCGCGCGUGCGGAGGCGUCGGCGGCGUCGGCGGCGCCUGGGGCCUGAGGAGGCGUCGUCGCCUCGGGCUCUGCCCGGGAGCGACUCCGGCCCGUCCGCCGCCCGCAGUUCCGGGACCGCCGUGGACAGCCACGGAUGUGACCUCCUCCUGCCUGGAAAAUCUCUUGUUUUGAAGUUUCAGUGCACACUGGAGGUGGCAGUUCAUAUAAAGGAAGCAGUGGGACUUGUGGCCUUCAAGAAUUAAAAAAA
rnacentral:lncRNA from 1 species